UACGUAGGGGGCAAGCGUUGUCCGGAUUUAUUGGGCGUAAAAGGCUUGUAGGUGGCCACGCCAAGUCGGAUGUGAAAUCUCCCGGCUCAACUGGGAGGGGUCAUUCGAUACUGGCGGGCUCGAGGCCGGUAGGGGGAAGUGGAAUUCCCGGUGUAGUGGUGGAAUGCGUAGAUAUCUGGAGGAACACCGGUGGCGAAGGCGGCAUCCUGGACCGAGAUUGACGCUGAGGCGCGAAAGCCAGGGGAGCAAACGGG
rnacentral:rRNA from 1 species